rnacentral:rRNA from 1 species
AGAUUGAACGCUAGCGGGAUGCUUUACACAUGCAAGUCGAACGGCAGCGCGGACUUCGGUCUGGCGGCGAGUGGCGAACGGGUGAGUAAUAUAUCGGAACGUGCCCAGUAGCGGGGGAUAACUACGCGAAAGCGUGGCUAAUACCGCAUACGCCCUACGGGGGAAAGGGGGGGAUCGCAAGACCUCUCACUAUUGGAGCGGCCGAUAUCAGAUUAGCUAGUUGGUGAGGUAAAGGCUCACCAAGGCGACGAUCUGUAGCUGGUUUGAGAGGACGACCAGCCACACUGGGACUGAGACACGGCCCAGACUCCUACGGGAGCAGCAGUAGGGGAAUUUUGGACAAGUGGGGGAAACCUGAUCCAGCCAUCCCGCGUGUGCGA